rnacentral:rRNA from 1 species
UGGGGAAUAUUGCACAAUGGGCGAAAGCCUGAUGCAGCAACGCCGCGUGAGGGACGACGGCCUUCGGGUUGUAAACCUCUUUUAGCAAGGAAGAAGCGAAAGUGACGGUACUUGCAGAAAAAGCGCCGGCUAACUACGUGCCAGCAGCCGCGGUAAUACGUAGGGCGCAAGCGUUAUCCGGAAUUAUUGGGCGUAAAGAGCUCGUAGGCGGUUUGUCGCGUCUGCUGUGAAAACCCGAGGCUCAACCUCGGGCCUGCAGUGGGUACGGGCAGACUAGAGUGCGGUAGGGGAGAUUGGAACUCCUGGUGUAGCGGUGGAAUGCGCAGAUAUCAGGAAGAACACCGAUGGCGAAGGCAGAUCUCUGGGCCGUAACUGACGCUGAGGAGCGAAACGGGUGGGGAGCAAACAGGCUUAGAUACCCUGGUAGUCCACCCCGUAAACGUUGGGAACUAGUUGUGGGGUCCAUUCCACGGAUUCCGUGACGCAGCUAACGCAUUAAGUUCCCCGCCUGGGGAGUACGGCCGCAAGGCUAAAACUCAAAUGAAUUGACGGGGUCAUAGCUGUUUCCU